rnacentral:tRNA from 1 species
AGAGCGCUGCUCUGAUACGAGAGCUCCGGACUUUUAAUCCGUAGGCUUGUGGGUUCGAGUCCCACGCGACCCA